CCCUUCGCGGGCGGUGGUUGGUAUGAAUGCUGUUUGCCUCGGCUGGGCCAUGUGUGGACACUUGACAAGAUCGGUGUCUGCUACCUGGAAUAACAUUUGAACUGUUUCAGGAGUCAAGUCCUGCACCCUGCAACGCGAGGUUCCUGCCCUCUUGGAAACCAAGGCGAGGAGGCAGCACCUGCAGAAAACAGGCGCCCACGACUCCAGACCAGGCGGCUGCCCCCACCUGUGCGCUACCCUAAGUCUGCUCCAUGGGCCCCUGUUCUCCCGCACCCUUAAUUUGGUGAACAUCUGUCUUACAAUAGCUACUUCCACCGCUGCGACCACAGAAGCUUGUAAGCGCCCGGAUUUAGCGCCUAGAAAUCCCUGCGCUCUAGCCCUCCUUUUAUUAUCAGAAGACAAAAGGAGCCUGAGGUGUGCUCCAUCGCUGGGCUAGGAACAGGAAGUGAUGGACCCUUCCUUGCACUUUCAGAAAGAUUUACUGCAUCUUCAGACUUCCUCAGCAAAACACAAUAGGUUAUGCAAACAAGCAGCUGUUAGAAUAAAAAGAAAAGCCCCAUGAAUCCAGAAAAGCUGCAAAGAACUGAAUGCUGUCUUCAAAGUGGGACCAUAGAUGCAAUCGAGAAGGGUGAGAUGGUGGCUGCUGUGCCAGCGUUUUAAGUAGCAUCUCUGCUUAGUCUAAGAAAGUCACAUCUGCCUGGAAGCUCCCCAGUUCAAGAUUCACCCAUGUUUGUGCAUAAGAUACAUAUGCAAACUGUCCUCUCCUCUCUGAUACAGAACAGAGGGUGGAAAACAAAAAUAAAUAAAAAAAAUAAAAAGAAUCUAGUAUAUGCCUCGAAAACAAGAUCAUGGGCAGAAGUUCAUGGGAAACUGGAAAGAUGGGGUUCCAAUAAAGGUGAACAAAAAAUA